AAGUCGUAACAAGGUCUCCGUUGGUGAACCAGCGGAGGGAUCAUUAAAGAGUUAUUACAACUCCCAAACCCAUGUGAACAUACCUUUUUCUGUUGCCUCGGCAGGUCUGUAGCUCGUCCCGUGAGGGGUCCCCAAACCCUGUAGGUACGCCUGCAGCUGCAGGGGGGCUUUCACGGUGCCUGGCUGCGGAGGAAGCCUGCCGGUGGUCUACGAAUUAAACUCUUGUCUAUUAAUCGUUAUUCUGAAUAUUGUGAAAAAAAUGAAUUAAAACUUUCAACAACGGAUCUCUUGGCUCUG
rnacentral:misc_RNA from 1 species